rfam:Jatropha curcas cultivar GZQX0401 scaffold363_32, whole genome shotgun sequence.
AAGCUGUGAUGUGGGCACUUUCUCAAUAAGUCUUUAAAUCUCUCUUAAGCUUCGUACAAACUCUCUUGACCAUGGUGGACAAACGUCAUUAUCUCAUUGCACAGUUU